GACCCUCUUCGCCUGCACCGCCCCAAUCGACCCCUCCCUCUCUUUCUAUAUCUCUCACAAUUUAAUCCCCCUUUAUUAUUAUUUUUUUUAUUAAAGCUCAAUUUCCACCCGCCCUCCUAAAAUCCUUGUUUCAAAUCGAUCGAUUUAAACCCCGCGUCGGGUUCCAUUCCAUGGCGUUCCACAUCGCUUGUCCGCUCACUUGCCGCCGGAUUUGCGACUGCGAUCUGGGAUUCGACUCUGCGCCGCGGCGCGAGGCUUUGGCUGCGGAGAUCGACGCGCUCGAGGAGUUCUUGAGGGAUCCAUGGGCCGUUCGCCCUGCCGCCGAGGAGGAGGAGGUGGAGGAGGAGGAAGAAGAGGGGGAGAAGGGUGUUGUCCAGGUCUGGGCCCCCCGUGUGGCGCCGCCCGCAGUGGCCGCCCCAUCCGUGGCGGCGGAUGAUGCCGGCGCGGGCGACGAGGUUAAGCGUGCGGUGCUGCAGCGGCAGGCGCUGGCUGCUUCCUUGGCAGCGGAGGAUUAUGUUCGGAGGUUGGAGACGGGUGGUGCAGCAGAGGCACCAGCAGAAGCAGCUAACAACCUUGAUGGAGAAUAUCAAGGGAACUCUGCUGUGAAGGUCAUGUGCCGUGUAUGUUUUUCUGGGGAACAUGAGGGAACUGAGAAAGCUUUGAAAAUGCUGUCUUGCAAAUCAUGCAACAAGAAGUACCACAGAAGUUGCUUAAAAACAUUGUCAGAGCAUAGAGAUUUAUUUGAUUGGAGUUCAUGGUCUUGCCCCGCUUGUCGCAUUUGUGAGAUUUGCAGAAGAACUGGUGAUCCUAAUAAACUAAUGUAUUGUAAAAGAUGUGACGGUGCUUAUCACUGUUAUUGUCAGCGUCCACCACACAAGAAUGUUGGUCGUGGACCUUAUUUGUGUCCAAAACAUACAAGGUGUCACAGCUGUGGUUCCAGUGUACCUGGAAGUGGUCCUAGUACAAGGUGGUUUUUAGGCUACACCUGCUGUGAUGCCUGUGGUAGAUUGUUUGUGAAAGGAAACUACUGUCCUAUUUGUCUAAAGGUCUACAGAGAUUCUGAAACUAUACCGAUGGUUUGCUGUGAUGUUUGUGAAAGAUGGGUCCACUGCCUAUGUGAUGGCAUCAGUGAUGAAAAGUAUCAGGAGUUCCAAGCAGAUCAAAAUUUACAAUAUCAAUGUGCUGCAUGCCGUGGUGAUUGUUACCAGGUCACAAAUAUAGAUGAUGCAGUGAAAGAACUUUGGAAGAGGCGAGAUAUUGUUGAUUGUGAUUUGAUAGCAAGUUUGAGGGAAGCUGCUGGCUUGCCUUCCAAGGAAGAAAUAAAUUCAAACUUUCCUUACUUGGAUAAUGAGCAAAUUGGUCCAAUCCUACAUAAAAAUGAUGGUAUCAAAUCCCUAAAGUUCUCAUUGAAAGGGAUUAAUGAUAAAUUUUCAAAAGAACAUGAGAAGAUUGUCUCAAACAAGAUGCAAGCAAAGAAAAUGGGAUAUCAGAUUAAGUUAAAUGGUAAAACAGAAGAUCCUAAACUUGAAGGACAGAAUGAGUUGACAUCACUAGAGAGAAGUUUAAGAAAUCAGAACGUCAGUGAGAUAAACUCCUUCAUAAAUGGUGGUUCAGAUAUAAUUUCAUCCUCCGCCUUACCUAAACUCAAAAUAAAGAGCAGCAAAUCACAAGGUCUUCGUUUUAAGGAAUGUUCUGCUAAAAGUACAAUUGAGAUGGAGACAACAAGAAGUACUAAGCUUGUUAUACACAUUAGCUCAAAAAACAAAAUUCCUGCAUCCAGUUCCCCAAGAUCUGAAACCUCAAGCUGUCAUAUGGAUCAAGACUUGAUUACUAACUUUGCAGGUGGUGAUGAUGCAAUCAAGCACAAGGUGACAGAUAGCGAGGAUGACCAUAAUCAUACUGUCCAACAAGAUACCACAGACGGUAAUGCAGACAACCAUUUGAGAAGUUCAAACCCUGGAAGUAAAGAAAACAGUCCAGCAAAGAGAGCUAAAGUCAAUGAGAAUCUCCAGAAAAUUAAUGGUGGUUUCCCUGAUGAAUGUCAACUUAAUGCUAGAAAACAUGAUCCAUCAAUGGGCAAGAAAAGGAAUGAGAGAAGCCUUUCUUCAGAAAAUGAAACCAUAGAACAAAGUGAAGACAUUAUUCAGAAGAGUAAAAGGAGGGAUAUAUCUAACAAGUCUGAGAAGGGCCACAGUGGAACUUCUCUCUCAAAGUUUACCUCGAGUUCCUGCCCAGAUACGAAGCCGUUCUUGAAACUCAAGUUUAAGAGUCCAUAUUUUGAACAGAAAAGCUCCUGGGCUCCUACAGGAGACGAAGACAACUCUGUUAAGGGACAGAGAUCGACAAGGAAGAGGCCUUCAACCGAUAAGAAUGGGUGGAUGGGAAAUGAAAAAUUAUCAAAAUUGCAUCUUGGUAUCUAAUGUCUGGAACAACUUAUGAAGCUUGGAUAUUGCAGAACCUGGAACGCCACCUGUUUUAAUGCCUAUAGAAAGCAACUAGCAGCUUAUAUAAAAUGAAUCGUGAAGUGGGUUAUUGAUGUCAGCCAAGGAGUCACUUCAUCAUCAUCUUCAUCUUUAUCUCUCUUUUUGGUGAAGCAUGCACAUCCAUGGAGAUCCGUAAUCCAGGAGCCGGUAAUCCAAGUGAUUCGUUUUGGUUCCCAGUAAAGUAAAUCAAAGGAGCUCUUGAAAUCAGGAGCUCUUGGAUAUGAAGCUCUUUGGAUUUGAUAGCCUGAUGCAUCUAAUUGUUCCAGGGUUCGCCUUCUAUGUAGUUGAAAAAACACUCGUCUUCUAAACAAAUUAUUUUGUAGCGAAGUUUUAAGACUGUCUCAGCAAAUCUUGUAACACCUGGUUAGUUAUUUGCAGAUUAUUGGAAGUUCUCAGUUAA